rnacentral:tRNA from 1 species
AGCAGUAUGGCCUAAUGGGUAGAGCACAGGCCUGUGAGUCAGAGGACCUUGGUUCUAAUCCCAGUUCUGCCA